CCCACGCGGGGGCGUAGGAGGAGGGGGAGCCAGAGUCUGGGGCUGGGUGAGCGAGGUGCGAUCUCUGGCCUAGAUGGAGUGGGGUGGGGCGGUAGCGGAGUCCCUCGGCUUGGACAGCUCCAAAUCUUCAAACUUCACGCAGACCCCCACCUACAGUACUGCGCUCCCGGCUCUGCUAGGCGGAGAUCUGGGCGGGUCCUUUUGCUUUCUACCGUAAGCUUGGCACUGCCGUAUGCAAAUUCUCGGAAACCUCUCCCAGCCCCAGAGGGCGUGACUCCAGCCGGUGUACCUGGGUGUUAUCGCUUUAGUGUAUCAUUUGGCAUUGUGCAUUUUAUUCGCCAGUGAGCCUUCUCGAGUUCUAGGGCAGACACGCUAAUGUUUGUUGCUGAGCACUGGCAUCAAAAAAGAACCCGUGUGAGGCCUUUCUGCGCUGACCAGUCCUGUUGACGGGACUCGGGACCUUGCACUUGUGAGGCAGACAGUGGAAUCACUGAACUAAAUCCCCGGCCCUCUUGUCCAUUGUUUUAUGGCCAUUUGGGCACAAUGCCUGGCACUUAGUGGGUGUUCAAUCACAAUUUGAUGAAUAAAUCAUUGGGAUUCUAUGAAAUGAAGCCCUGCGAGUAUGUUUUAAAGCUGGAGUUGGCCAAUUGUAACUGGAACCAUGGAAAGUGACUACAGAAAGAGUCGACUGUGCAUGUCCGAUUCCAGCUAGAGCCUAUGGAGAGCUAGAAGGAGGCCGGCAAAUGUAAUAGUCAUUGAAUGCAAUUCACCUAUCUGCCUGAACCAGUCUUGCUUUGAAGAACACAUUGUGUUUCUGGAAAGAAAGUCGAGGUUGACAUGAACCCUUUCAAUUAUGGUGAGACCGGCAUUUUUAGUUCUCUUUAUUCCUUUUGGCUUUCUUUUGGACCUGCUUUUGAAGAAGGUUCGUGUAGUUACUGGUGUUAGAGACUAGAAUCUAAAGGCUGAAACACUGGUGAGUUAAUUUACUAAAAUAUGUAGCAGUUGCCAACACUCAUUUGAGUCCUUGUUACAGAAGAUGUUGGUGAGGAUUCUGGACAGGGCAUCUAGGGACAUGAAUAUCCUUCUCUACCAUAAUUUAGUUCAACAGACAUUUCUUUUCCAAAUUCUAAAAGGUAAAGGACAGGACAAGAAGUGACAAGGCAUUAGAUUUCCUCUUGUCCUGAAAUGCCUACAUCAAGGAAGUUGGUUGUCUUCUUCUUAUCCUCUACUUACCCUUCCUCCCUCUUGGCAGCUCUCCAUCUUUCUACUGUGAGCCUUGUGCUUGAAGGAGGCUGGAUUGGGCUAAACCAGUCAUGGAGCAUUUAAUUCCUUGCUAAUGACUAGUUAAGGCAUAAGCACAUGACAUGAUUCUGGCCAAUAAAGUUCAUUGGGAGGUUCCUGGAAAAGAUGUCCUCCUAGGUAGGAGGCCUAGAAUUGGAGCAGUCAGAAAAGCAAACUAAAUUUACACUUUUUAGGAUGGCACAGCAGAAAGAUGGAAAGAACCAGAGGUCCUGGUGACGUUGUCAUGCCUCCAAAUUAAUCAACUCAGGAGCCACCUUUCCUUUGAUCUUUGCUUGUAGUUUAACCUACUGUGAAUUGGCAUUUCUCUUGUUUACAACCAAAAUGUUUCCAAAUGAUAUACUCCCUUACAUCAGAGCUUACAAAGUAGAGAAGGAAGAAGAUGUGUAGAUAAGUCUCCUCCAUCACAGCUGGGCUUCUGGUCUGGCAGUGUGGCUUAGUCUGUAGAAUAUGUACUCUUGUUCUUACGAAGUCUACCAUCUUGAGAAAAAUCACCUAAUCUGUCUGGGCCUGUUAACUCACUCAUCUGUGAAGUUCAGGUGAUAACUGACCCUGCCUCCUUAUUGUGUGGAUGAGAUGUACCUUAAGCACUUAGUAAGUGUUCAGUAAAUCUCAUCAACUUCUAUAGCUAUUUUGGAAAUAGCAUAAAAUAAGGAGUGAGCAGUUCUGCCCGGGAAUUUCCAGGAAGGCUUCGACAAGGAGGCAGAUGUUAACAUGAGUCUUGAAAGGCAAGUUGGGGUUUGUAGGUCUAAGUCUGAGCGGGGAAAGACAUUCAGGCAAGCAGAGGGAACAGGAUGUGAGCUCAGCAGCCAGGUACCCAAAAGCAGAUUAUUGCAUCCUUCCAGAGCUCAAUUGCUUCAUCCUUAAAAGCACUUGUGUGUGUCGGAGUAACUUAAUCCUCUUUUGAUAACUAACCUAUGAUUGUUUGUCUCAACCCAUCCUGAAGAAAUUCAUUCAACAAACAUUUCCCACUCAAGACAAGUGACUCUCAGUGGCUUUGUUGAUUUUGUUCUUCACUGCUGCCUAGAGUUUUAUUCAGUGCGCAAUUAGCGAUUCUGAACCUUCUCAGCCUCCCUAGGCCCCGCAUCUCUCAUCAAGCAGAUAGAUGUUGAAGCUUAAUUAAGCUUGUAAAGCUUUCUGAUUUCCUCCAAUGAAAGGUGGCCCGUAAGUAGCAGGUUUUAUUUUGGUGGCUCCUGCCCAGGGUUAUUAUAAAUAGGACUCAGUGCGAUGUGGCUGAGCUCUUAGGGUGAUAAUGUGUCAAGACCAAUCGAGGCUGCCGAGAGCAGAGACAUUAUCAUAAUGGUCCCAUCAUCUGUGGUGGGUGUUAAUGGAAGUGGAUAUGAAAAGAAAAAGCACGGCAGGCGGCGAGGCAGGCAGAGCGGUGGCUGCGAGUGAAAUAUCGCUGCUCCUGGGAUCUCCAUCAUAAUCAUUAACUAUAUUAGCCUUGGAGCCAUUCUUCUGCCAUCUCUCUCAGAUCAGGCUUAAAUGGAAAUAAAAAAUGGAUGCUUUAACUCCAAAUGAAAAUAUAUUCCUUUGCUGCUUUUUAAAAUCCAUUUUCAUUAGAAUGAUGGCCAGCAGGUAAGUAAUUUAUAACAGGGGUUCAGUGCCGUGCAGAUGAGUGGCCUCUGAAUUGCAAGCAGCCUGUGUGGGAGACCGAUGGACUUGUGGAUCCAGGAAAGAUGUCGCUGUUGGACUGAAAAGUAGCUGGUAAGAACGUGGAAAGGCAAAGGAGACUUACGGACACUUGCUGGUGGUGAUGGAGAAAAGAGAGAUAGCUUUGCAUUUCCACAUUGAGGUAGAAGCGGUCUUCAGUGAUAACAGCGCAGGUCCAGAAACCUGGGCUCCAGGUUUUAUCCCUGAAAACCAGCUUUCUGCACCCUUUACACCCUCAGUAACAUCUGGUGCUGAUAAUGAGCAUGGUGAUGGUGUGACCCUGUGGGCAGUCCAAACCUCCCUACUCUUUUGAGAUUCAGUUAUGUUCGCUCCACAUUUCUGUUCUAUGGUCUAUGAGGUCCAGAGACUUUCUUCCUGUUUCUAAGAGUCCCUGGAGCUUUUUCAAGCUCAGCUCUCUGUGUCCACUUCCUGCAUGCACUGACAUGGGUGUGGAGAUCCACACAAGCCUCAUUCAGCCCCUUCCCCUCACUUGGCCCAAACAAAUCAUGACUUGAAUGACCACAGAGGCUCUGAGGGUCACCCUGGGGAGCUGCAUUGCUGUGCAAGGCCUUGAUCCAUCUAGUGGUCCACUCCUCCCUUUCUCUCUCCACCUGGAUGCAGAGACAGGUGUCAUUUCCCCCUUACAUCAUGUCCAACAGGGAUUCCGUGUCCCCCAGGGUCUCAGCUGCUACCUCAGCUCAACAGAUCAAGAUUUCUCAAGAUGCCACAUCGGUCGCCCAUCUGUAUGUUCUUGGAUGCAGUUUAACAUCCCCUAUGUCCCUUCUACAUGGCAGGCAGUGUGCUGAGCGCUGUCUGUACUGCUUCUCUUGACGCACCCCUCUGUCCUCAGAGGUGUUAGUCCCCCAUUUCAUUGAGGGGGAAACUGGAUCAUCAUGAGAGCUGGAUUUGGCCUAAGAGAUUUCUACUACAUAAAAGAAGAAGAACUCCAACUCAAGACAAGUGACUCUCAAUGGCUUUGUAGAUUUUGUUCUUCACUGCUGCCUAGAGUUUUAUCCAGUGCACAAUUAGCUGUUCUGAACCUUCUCAGCCUCCCCAGGCAAAUCUGGCAAAUGACCAGAGUUACGUUAACUGCAGCCCAGGUUGAGCAUCCCUAACCUGGAAAUCCAAAAUCUGGUAUGUUUUAAACUUCAGACCUUUUGAGCACCAACAUGAUGCUGCCACGAGUCAUGAAAAUUCCCCACUUGACCUCCUGUGUUGGGUUGCAGUCAAAACACAGGUGCACUAAAAAAUUGCACGAAAUUACCUCCUGACUGCGUGUAUAAGAUGUAUAUGAAACACAAAUGAAUUUAGACUUGAGUCCCAUCCCUGGGAUAUCUCAGUAUGCAUAUGCAAAUAUUCCAAAGUAUAAAACAGUUUAAAAACCUGAAAGAGUUGUGGCGUGCUGUCUAUUCCAAGCACGUUGAAGUAGAUGCUUCCUGUCACUCUCCUCACCUCUGCUGAGGGAUCGCGCCUAGGCCCGCUGCAAGGAAAUAAGUGGCAGCACGGCGGGCUCACCAGGGUUAAUGACUUAUGGGUGGGAUAUUUGUGGUUGGGGCCAGGUGUGGUAGCAGACCCCUGUCGUCUCAGCAUACUGGGAGGCUGAGGCAGGAUACUUUUCAAGUGUGAAUCCAGCCUGGGCUGGCCUGAUGGUCCUAGGGAUGGCGCGAGCUCUGUUUUAGGAUGCGGUUAACUUGGGUAAGGACGGUAGCAUGAGAACACCUAUGGUCAUGUCUCCUCUAUGUGGCCCUUUGCUGCUUUGAAGCUCUGUUUACAUUAAAAUGAUGGUUUUACUCCCCGUGGGAGGCCACUAUGAGCUUGCCACAGGGAAGAGGAGGCAUCUGAGGUAUGUUUGUUGUGUGCCUUGCACCCUGACUUGCUCCUGAAUAUCUCCACUUCCUUUUUAUUUCACUCAAGUAAAAAAAGAAAGAAAGAAAAUUUGGAGGGCGGUUCUUGCCACCUGAGUUCAUAGAAUGGCUACAUUUUAGAGGCAGUCGGGGCCUCAGGAGUAGCGGGACCAAAGCAGAGGAAUAAUGGUGGUGAUGUAUUUAUACAGCUCCCUGAGGCUUUGCAGAACAAUCUUGUAUGCCAGUCUUGUUGACUUUUCACAACAAUCUGCUAGGAGGGUAGCAGGGCGAGGGAGAGUUACUAUUUCUGCUUGUUCAAGGAGAAAGUCAAGCUUUAGAGAGUUAUUCAAUGAGCCCAAGAUUCACAGCUAGUUUCUGACAGACCUGGAACUUGAACACACUUCGCCUGACUUCCACCCAUGUGACGUCUGUGCACAGGGCUGCUAACAACUGCAACCUCUGUCACUGUCUCAUUGCUUUUGUCUGGCUACAUGUACAUGUUACGUGUAUAUUACAUUGCCCACUAAAACUGUAGCAAUGAGGGCCGAAAAAGAAACCCAAGAACUGCUGAAAAACUGGAAAAGUUUGGUCUCCCUUCCAUUCAGUGGUACUUUCAUUUUUUCAGUACUUUGGGUGGAACCCAGAGCCUUUACUCUGAGCUACAUCCUCUGCCCUUUUUAUUUUUCUCUUUUGAGAUAAAGUAAUGAUAAACUGCUCAGGCUAAGCUCAGAUUUUUGAUUCUUUUGCCUCAGCCUCCCACAGUGCUGAGAUUACAAGUCUGUGCCACCAUGCCCAGCUUCGAUGGUACUUUCUAUCUCACCUACCAGCAUCUGUAAUAGAAAGAAAAAAGUAGAGAAAAAUGACCAAAAGGAGAGUGAGAGAUUAUUUUGAAAUAUUUUUCUGCCUGUUUCUGUUGGUUGACAAGUGGAGGAGCUAAUAAGGGGAAGACAGAGUGAGAGAGAGGAAGUAAUCAUUGCUGAUUGACUUAUUUUCUGGCCUUUUUUCUUAAAAAAAAUCUUUAAAUGACUCUGAUGUGGCUAAGAGGAAAUGAUAAGAAACAAAAAGCUUCCUUUUUUUUGUUCUCUGCUCCCAUGCCUGAUAUCCUUACACAGAGUAAAACAAAGCCAUCAGACAGAAGCAUGGUACUUGACUUAGUCUUCUUUCCCUUUUAGAAGGCUGUUUGAUUAGGGGCUAAGACACCUGCAUGGCUGUUUAGGAUCCUAGAGAGUAGUGGACUAUAUGGAAGUCUUCCCAUUUUGUUUUUCUUGUUUGUAAAAUGGGAUAGCAAUGCUUUCCUCGUAGGAGUAUUGUGCAAAUUAAAUGAGAUUAUGGAUCAAAUAAAAUA